rnacentral:rRNA from 1 species
UACGUAGGGUGCGAGCGUUGUCCGGAAUUAUUGGGCGUAAAGAGCUCGUAGGUGGUUCGGUUAGUCGGAUGUGAAAUCUCCAGGCUCAACCUGGAGGGGUCAUUCGAUACUGCCGUGACUAGAGUUCGGUAGGGGAGACUGGAAUUCCCGGUGUAGUGGUGAAAUGCGUAGAUAUCGGGAGGAACACCAGUGGCGAAGGCGACCUCCUGGCCUGUUCUUGACGCUGAGGCGCGAAAGCUAGGGGAGCAAACGGGG